CCACUCCCUGCAUGGCAGCCCCUCAUCCUGAGCACGGCUGGGGCAUGAAUCCUGCCCCGUGCUCAGCAUCCCUGGACGAGGAGCUACGGUCUCAUAUCCUUCCUCACACGGGGAGGGGGAAACGCUUCGGCACCGCUAAUUGUGGAGGGCUGGUGCUUUCGGCGCUGCUUGCCUCAGGCUGCCAAUCACCCCUCGCUCCCCUGCUCCCGCCGCAGCGCCGGGCAUCACGUCAGCUGUGUCUCGGUGUGCUCUGACAUCGGCCUGACGCCUGGACCGUGCCGGGGCAGUGACGAGCAGUAAUUGGGUCCCCCCUCCAUCGGCAUCACCUGUCAAGGCCGUGGGGCGGAGGCAGCGAGUGACUUUGCAGCCGUCCAAGGAAGAGCUCGGAUGCUGACACCUUUCUGGUGGAGACAGACCUGCCAGGUGUUGACUUCUGCUGGCAGUGAGGAUGCUCUGCAAUCACAGAUACCCGUUCUCAGCUGGGGUUUCCUGCCUGUUGGCUGGUUUGAAGUUGGCAAUUCAUCGAGACGAAGUUGUGCAAAGUUGGCUGUUGCUGAAUUUGCAUUUUUUUUUUCCCCAGAGGAGAGAGAUUUAGAGUGAAAAAUAUUGCGGCGCUGCAUCAUCAGGAGCUCCAUUCCCCUCAUGUGUCACCCUCAUUGCAAGUGGAAUUACAGGCUUGCCCUUCCUCACCUCUUCCCCGCCGCUGAAGUCCUCAUGUGGCGAUUCCCUGCGUCCCCGCUCUGGACAUGGGAUUACAGCUCCGGCUCCUCUUCCCAGUGCAUCAUCAACAUGUUGUUUCCAGGGUCAUAAAUUUGCACUGUGAUGAGACACAACCAGAUGUUAGGAUACGUGAAGCGACUGGCGAAGCAGCCUGCCUGGCGCAGCCCCCACCUCCGGAGUCAGCCGCCCGCUAAUGAGAAGCAGGUCUCUCGCCUUGAGCUGGGCCAGGACAGACGGAGAGCAUCCCCAGGAGCAACCACUGAGCUGCCAUCUCAACGCCCUUCCUGCUCUCAGUGCCCGGGGAGCAUCUCCAGGGCCGGAUUCAGGCACUUUGGUGGCUAUUGGCUUCUGGCAGCCAUCUGGAAUGAUAGUUUGGGCCGGUAUAGGGGGGGAACGCCCAAGGCCGUGGUCCUCCUUGCUAGCAAGGAUGCUGGUUACUGUGCUGUGUGAUCCUUUAUCAUGUAAAAAUACUUCUGAGAUGCAUGUUUUGGAUCAUUUGUGUGGCUGAACAGGCUGUUUGGUAAUGGAGAGACUCGUGGGGAAGUGAGGUCAGUAUGCUAGGCUGGUACCCUCUGCCACAAGCCACUGUUAGCUUGUGAUGCCUGUUUCCAAGUGGCUUCAGCCCAUGUGUCCCCAUGGUACUGAGGCUCCCAAGUCCCCUGGGUGGGCAGGGAGCUGGGGCUGGGGCAGGUGGCACUGAAAAGGAGGUGAAGGGCUGUUUGCAGGGAAUGUGUUGGUCGUGGGCUGUGAGGAUGCUCAGGAUGGCUGCAGCUUUUGGAUGAUGUCUGUAUUAAACACACAACCCUUGUAACCCCUGUCCUGCUGUCCCGUGGUGCACAUUCACUGGGUGAUACUUUGGGGCACACACUAAACAUAGGGGGAUCCACACCCUGAUUGCAGCCCCUGGUACAACCAUCCUGUGGCUUUUUCAACAUGGGCUCCUUUUUCACUGUGGUGAUCCCUGCUGCCCUGGGUGUAAGCCUGAGCCCUGCAUGGGGCUGGCACAGCUCUGUAUGCUCAUUCACAGCACAGGAUCAUUGCCUGCGUGGUGGGGUGAGUCUAGGCUUAACAAUGAUCCAGCGUGGAGAUCUGGCCUUACAGCUACUUAUCUUUUCCUUCACCUUCCCCAGCCCACAUGGGCACUGAUGGUAUUUCCUCACAUGCAUGCUCCGAUGGUAUAGGGUUGGGCAGGCCUGCUCUUUCCUUUUAGCAUCCAGGUAAGCACAGAGGGGAGAGAAGAGCUACUGGAAGCAGAAGGAGCAUGUUUGUACCAGACCCAAGAACUACAUUUUGGCCAGAUCUUCAGGGGCUGCUCCUCAGUUGGAGGUUCAGCAACAGCCUCCAAAUGGGAGAAGAAGGAAAUGGAGCUUGGUAAGUCCUUGGAGGGGACAAAACAGUGUGUGCCUGUGGCUGCAAGGGAAACUUGCAGCCCCAGCUCCAAUGAAGGGGUAGUCCAGCCAUCCCCAAUUGUCUUUGCCACCAGUCCAAGGGAAUUUCCUAAGGCUGUGCUGGAGGGAUGGGAUCAAGUAGUCCUUGGGCAUGUUCCCACCAUCCCUUCUCAGUGACAUGAGGGAGAGUGAGUGCUGUGGCUCUGCUCAGCCCCUCUGGAGGAGCAACCCAUGGACCCGGAUGACUGUGAAGGGUUUCACACCCUCUGGAAGAGCUACAGCCCUUCCCACAGGAAGGCCAGGUGAAACAGGGCUUCCUGCCAGCAGCUCCUGGGGUUACACCUCACUGCCCCAAGCAUGUCCAGGGAAGAAGGGGAUGCCCUGUGACACGGGGUGUGGAGGCCUCUCUGUCCCUGUCGUGCUGCAGAACACCCACCCCAUUGUGAGGCAGCACAUUGGAGGGAGUUUGGGUUAAAAGGGGUUAACAGCUCUCUGCUGUAACACAUGAUUGGUCUUUAUGAGGUUGAAACUCUUGUCUGUUUGAGGCCUACAGAUGAUGCUAAAGAGCACAAUAAUGACAGCAAUUCAAAGCAAUCUAAUUAUGCAAACGGGAGGCUAAACAAUUUCAUCAUCCUUAAAUUAGAUUGUCCUAAUGAGAUAAAGACACCAAUUAAUCCUGAAUUAAUUUCAAUAGCCUAUUUCAGGCAAACACUUUAAUAUGCAAAUGUAAAUGAGAAACAAAGCCUACUGUAGAAUGCCAGAGUUCAAAACCUCUCUCUGCACAGCUGCAGCGGGUGUAAAUAGUGUCUAAUGAGUUUGCAUGGAAAGACACAACCAGUUGAAAAUUUUAGACUUCAUAAAGCACAGCCGGUGCCUCAGGCACGGGGCAGGGAGCUGCAAAGGCAUCCAUGGGAAAUGCUGGCAUUGAUGGUGAGGCUCAGGUCUGAGUUAUUCCUGCUGCUGUGUCUCCUCUCCAGCAGGUCCCAGGAACAUGGCUGGGAGGAAGCUGUUAAAAACAAACAGAUAGAAGGAUAACAAAACCAAACUGUCCCAGUUUGGAUAAUUUAUCCCUCUUAGAUAAUUUAUCCCUCUGCCCCUUCUGCCAAAUCUAUCCUGGGCUGUUGUGAGGGAAUAAUGUUAGAGUCACAGAAUGAUUUGUGUCAUAAAGGACCUGAAAGACCAUCUUGUUCCAAACCCCAGCCAUGGGCAACUCCUUGCACUAGACCAGGUUGCUCCAAACCCCAUCUGACCUGGCCUUGAAC